rnacentral:ncRNA from 1 species
GUUCAAAUGAAGAAAGGCUGGCGGUGGAUACCUAUGCACCUAGAGACGAGGAAGGGCAUAGUUAGCGACGAAAUGCUUCGGAGAGUUGCAAAUAAGCGUAGAUCAGGAGGUCAACCUUUCAAACUGCUGCUGAAUCCAUGGGCAGGCAAGAGACAACCUGGCGAACUGAAAUAUCUUAGUAGCCAGAGGAAAAGAAAGCAAAAGUGAUUCCCGUAGUAACGACGAGUGAAAUGGGAGCAGCCUAAACCGUAAAAAUGAGGUUGUGGGAGAGCAAUGCAAACGUAGUGCCGCUAGGCAAAGCGAUGGAGUGUUGCACCCUAGAUGGCGAGAGUUUAGUAGCCGAAAGCAUCCCUAGCUUACGCUCUGACCCGAGUAGCAUGGGGCACGUGGAAUCCCGUGUG